CGCUGCGCGGCACAGAGGCAGCCUGCACCUAGGAGGGGCUUUGCGGAGGGGCACAGAGGGCUCGGGAAUCCUGAGCUCCCCAACUUAGGAGCUGAUCAGCAGCUGCUGGGGCCACACCACCGCCUCUUCACUGCCAUCACAGACAGACACGGGCAGUGUCACAAACUGGGCAUCGUCGGCGUCUGACUGCAGAAGCUGCGUGGGGGGACCUCGAAGUGAGUCUAUCUGCUCAGACAGCCCUGAAAGCCUGGAAGCAGAUCCCGGGCUUAGCACUCGGGCCAGCUGUCGAUGUGGGACUUUCCUGGGAACCACCGCACUGAAGACAGGGUCUCAUAUGUAUCCCAGGCUGACCUUGAACUUGCUAAGUAGAGGAUUUUGAAUUACUAAAUUCUCCUGCUUCUACCUGGUGCUGGGACAAAGAAUGUAUUACCAUGCCGGGUUACUGAAGAUGGAUCCCAGGGUCUCAUGAAUGCCGGGAGAGCACUCUACCAACUGAGCUCAAGCUCCAGAAAUUAUACUAUAUAUGUUGUCACUGAGACACCCCAGGAGGCUUAUCAAAUUUGCUCUCUGUGUGAAUAGCAAGAAGACAGUCAUCUGCAUGACAGGAAAGUCCCCUAUCCUAAAACCAGUGUGUCAGCCUUGGUCCCAGACUCUAAUAAAA